UACCCGGAGCCCAAGUGUUGGCCACGAUUAUUGGGUCUAAAGCGCCCGUAGCCGGCUUAACAAGUUUCUGGUGAAAUCUCCUAGCAAACUAGGAGGCUUGCCGGAAAUACUGUUAGGCUUGAGACCGGGAGAGGGCAGAGGUACUCUUAGGGUAGGGGUGAAAUCUUAUAAUCCUAAGGGGACCACCUGUGGCGAAGGCGUCUGCCUGGAACGGGUCUGACGGUGAGGGACGAAAGCUAGGGGAGCGAUCGGG
rnacentral:rRNA from 1 species